rnacentral:rRNA from 1 species
CCUACGGGUGGCAGCAGUGGGGGAUAUUGCACAAUGGGGGAAACCCUGAUGCAGCGACGCCGCGUGAGUGAAGAAGUAUUUCGGUAUGUAAAGCUCUAUCAGCAGGGAAGAAAAUGACAGUACUUGACCAAGAAUCCCCGGCUAACUACGUGCCAGCAGCCGCGGUCAUACGUAGGGGGCAAGCGUUAUCCGGAUUUACUGGGUGGAAAGGGAGCGUAGACGGUGAUGUAAGUCUGGAGUGAAAGCCCGGGGCCCAACCCCGGGACUGCUUUGGAAACUGUGUAACUGGAGUACAGGAGGGGCAGGCAGAAUUCCUGGUGUAGCGGUGAAAUGCGUAGAUAUCAGGAGGAACACCAGCGGCGAAGGCGGCCUGCUGGACUGAAACUGACGUUGAGGCUCGAAAGCGUGGGGAGCAAACAGGAUUAGAUACCCCGGUAGUC